UGUUGCAUCGAUGAGUUAGCAUGGUUGCUAAAGAUGACUUCAAAUCAUUUGGUGUAGGGUCACUGCACAGAGGUUCGAUUCCUCCUUCGGUGCGAAUAUGAAAU
rnacentral:tRNA from 1 species